AUGUUGUUUGUGUGUGUGUGUGUGUUGUGGGUGUGUUUGAACAGGUACAGUUUCUCUCUGUGUGUUGUCUCCAUGUGUUGUGUGUGUGUGUUGUGUGUGUUGGACAGGUACAUUCUCUGUGUGUGUGUCUCCAUGUGUUUGUGUGUGUGUGUGUUUUGGCAGGUACAUCUCUCUGUGUGUGUGUCUCCAUGUGUUUUGUUGUGUGUGGUGUGUGGUGGUGGUGUGUGUGUGUGGUGUGUGUGUGUGUGGUGUGUGUGUUUGUGUGUGUGUGUGGUUUUGGACAGGUACAGUCUCUCUGUGUGUGUGUCUCCAUGUGUUGUGUGUGUGUGUGUGUGUUUGGACAGGUACAGUCUCUCUGUGUGUGUGUCUCCAUGUGUGUGUGUGUGUGUGUGUUUGUGUGUGUGUGUGUGUCUUUGGACAGGUACAAUCUCUCUGUGUGUGUUUGUGGUGUGUGUGGUGUGUGUGUGUGUGUGUUGUGUGUGUGUGUUGUGUGUUGUUGUGUGGUGUGUGUGUUGUGUAGUUGUGUAUGUGUGUGGUGUGUCUUUGGACAGGUACAGUCUCUCUGUGUGUGUGGGUGUGUGUUGGACGGUACAGUCUCUCUGUGUGUGUGUCUCCAUGUGUUUGUGUGUGUUGUGUGUGGGGUGGUGUUUGGAAGGUACAGUCUCUCUGUGUGUGUGCUCAUGUGUUUGUGUGUGUGUGUGUGUGUGUUUGUUUGGACAGGUACAGUUCUCUCGUGGUGUGUUGUCUCCAUGUGUUUGUGUUGUGUGUGUUUGUGUUUGGACAGGUACAGUUCUCUGUGGUGUCUCCCAUGUGUGUGUGUGUGUGUGUGUGUGUGUGUGGUGUGUGUGUGUGUGUGUUGUGUGUGUGUGGUGUGGUGUGUGUUGGUGUGUGGUUGUGUGUGUGUGGUGUUUGGAACCGGUACAGUCUCUCUGUGUUGGUGGUUCUCCACAGGUGUUUGUGUGUGUGUGUGUGUGUGUGUGUGUUUGGACAGGUACAGUCUCUCUGUGUGUGCACUGA
rnacentral:lncRNA from 1 species